GUUCUUAUUUCAGCAGAACAUAUACUAAAAUUAGAACAAUACAGAGAUAAGCAUGGCCCUUGGGCAAUGAUGAUGCACGAAUUUGUGAAGUGUUCAUGUAAAAU
ensembl:snRNA U6 U6 spliceosomal RNA